rnacentral:rRNA from 1 species
AAUAAUAGCCACAGCAUCAAUUGAUAUCAAUGCCUGAGUUCUUGUCCGGUCACUGAAGUUAAGUAACGUUGAGCUUAGUGAGUAUAUAGGUGGGUGACCGCUCGGGAAACCUAGGUGCUGUAAGCA